UUCCUCCUGGCAGGAAGGACGGCACUCAGCCUCUGCCAGGGUGCGCCAGACAGCAGGCCCAUCAGAUAGGAAACACUCGUGCUCUGGCUCAAAGGCCUCUCCCUAUGUUGGAAUGAUAACGAAUCUACCAGGGUUGGAGGGUAGCCUAAAGGCAGGAAGGGGAGAGCUGGCUUCAAGAGUUCAGCUGAAAAGUAACAUGGGGACAAGGACUAAACAAAGGGGAGGGAGAAAGGGCUAGGCCAAGGUCUUGGAGAUGUUUGAAAUCUUCCUGAGAGGAGGUGUCCUCCCCAGUCAGGUGUUCUGGGUUCUGGGAGCCAGGCCCAACUGUCCCUAAGCCCCUCCUCCUCUUUCCUGGGAAAGGCCCUCAGUGAAAGUUCUGGCUGCAUCACUCGGUCCCCAGCACAAGUUGGGACCAGAUCACUGACCCAUGAAAGGAGCACACAGAGGUGGUGUUCUUGGGGACCAGGCAGGGUCAGGGUCAGCUGGAAGUUGAACUUCAAGGCUGGAGCCCAGAGGAGCUGAAGCCAGAGGAGAUGGCUGUGAACGUGUGGCUCUCAGAACACCCUCCUGUGAAGCAGCCGUGGUGCCUGGAAUGGUACCUUGGCUCUUGAGCAUGCUAGUUCUGGAGGUCAUAAUUCUGAAAUGAACAUCACUGGGCUAAGGCGAAGGUGUCAGCAGGCUGAAGGCUCUCAGGAAGGGCCCAUUUCCCUGCCUCUUCUGGAGAGGCUCCUACAUUCUUUGGUUAAUUUCUGCCCGAAGUAUUGAUGAGGUUACCACUAGGAUUCUAUUUAAUCUGCAAAUCAACUUCAGGAUAAUCAACAACUUUAAAACAUUGAGUUCUGGGCUGGGGAUGUGGCUCAAGCGGUAGCGCGCUCGCCUGGCAUGCGUGCGGCCCGGGUUCGAUCCUCAGCACCACAUACAAACAAAGAUGUUGUGUUUGCCGAGAACUAAAAAAAAAUAAAUAUUAAAAUUCUCUCUCUCUCUCUCUUUCUUUAAAAAAAAAAAACAACAUUGAGUUCUGUUAUCCAUGAACAUUGUAUGUCUUCCAUUUAGUUAGAUCUUAUAUUCUUUUCACCAUGUUUCAUAGUUUUCAGGGUAGAGAUCUCUACAGUUUAUUAAGUUGAUUCCAAGUUUUUUUUUUUUUUUUUUUAGCUUUAUGCCAUUGCAAGUAGCAUUUUUAUUUUUAUAUUCUUAACUAUUCAUUUAUUUAUUAUAGUACUGGGAAUCAAACCCAGGGGCCCACGCAUGCCAGGCAAGUACUCUACCACUGAGCUACAUCCCCCUGCUUCAUAAGUGGCAUUUUUAAAAGUUCAAAUUCUGAUUAUUCUUUGUGGUAUAUAAAACACAGUUAAUUUUUGUAUACUGACUUUGUAAAUUGCAAUUUUGCUAAAUCACUUAUUUGUUCUACUAUCUUUUUUGUAGGUUCAUUGGGAUUUUCUAAAUUAUUAUAUCUCAAGAAUAAAGAGAAUUUGACUUUUUCUUUUAUAAGAUGUAUGCCUUUAUUUCUUUUUCCUUAUUUCAUUGCACUGGCCAGUAAAACAUUAAAUAGAAGUGAUGUGAUCAGAAAUAUUGCCUACAUUGAGUGUGGUUCUUAAAAUAGACACUCUUUAUCAGAUUGAGGAAGUUCUAUUCUUAGAUAACAGAGUUUUUUAACCACUGGAUGUUGAGUUUUGUCAAAUGCUUUCUUGUACUUUUUGAAAUGAUCACAUGGUUUUGCUAUCUAAUGUUUCAGCAACCUUAUAUUCCAGGAAUGAGCUAAUUUAGUCAUAGCUUUCUAUAUAAACUUCUGUUAAAGAUUAUUUGUGUCUAGGAUGGGUGCAGUGGUGCACGCCUGUAAUCCCAGUGGCUUGGGAGGCUGAGGCAGGAGGAUUGUGAAUUCAAAGCCAGUCUCAGCAAUUUAGCAAGGCUCUAAGCAACUUAGCAAGCCACAACUUAGCAAGUCUCUAAAUAAAUAUAAAGCAGGCUGGGGAUGUAGCUCAAGGAUUAAGUGCACCUGAGUUUAAUCCCCAGUACCAAAAGUGGGGGAAAUACUUUAUAUGUUUAUGUCAAUGAGGAGUUUUGGUCUGUAAUUUAUUUUUUGAAUUUUUUUUUAUCUAUUAUUUUUAUAAGGCUAAUGAUUGCCUCCUAUACUGAAUCAAGUUUAAAAAAAAUAUUCUGGAGGAGUUUGUGUAGAAGUUCUAAUAUCUUUGCUUUACAUGUUUGGUAGAAUUCACCAGUUAUGUUAUCUGAGCCUGGAGUGGUUUUUUUUGUAGGAAGAUUUCAAACUUCAAACUAUUUCUUUAAAUAGAUUCAGGGGUGUCUGGGUUAUCGAUUUUUGAGUGAUCUUUGGUUGUUUAUAUUUUUCAAGGAACUUAUCCAUUUUAUCUGAAUUGUUGGAUUUGUUGGCAUGAAAUUAUUCAUAAUAUAUUCUUAUUUUUUUUUGGGGGGGUACCAGGGAUUGAACUCAGGGGCACUCAACCACUGAGCCAUACCCCAACCCUAUUUUGCAUUUUAUUUAGAAAUAGGGUCUCACUGAGUUGCUUAGCUCCUCACUUUUGCUGAGGCUGGAUUUGAACUCCCAAUCCUCUUGCCUCAGCCUCCAACUCCUCUGGGAUUACAGGUGUGGGCAACUGCGCCCAGCUCUUAUUCUUUUAAUAGCUGUAGGAUCUCUGUACUUCAUAUUGGUAAAAUAGGUCUUUUCUCUUUUUGUCUUCAUCAGUGUGGCUGGUGGUUAAUCAAUUUUUUAUGUCUUUAUGUAUUUUUUAAAGAAUGAGUUUGAUUUAAUUGAUUUUCUCUAUUGUUCAUAUAUUAUUCAAGAAUGUUAUAUAAAUGGAAUUGUACCGUGUGUAGUCUUUUGGGAUCGGCUUACUUUACUCAGCAUGAUUAGUGGAGUGAUAUCUCAUUGUGAUUUUAGUUUUACUUCCCUAAUGGCAAAUAUGUCGAUACACUUCAAGUUCUUAUUUGUCACUAGUGUAUCUUCCUUCAGUGAAAUGUCUCUUUAUGUCUUUUGCCCUGUUCUAAUUAAAUUUUUGGCUUUUUUACUGUUGA